AAAGGCCCUCUGGGCUGUGGGAGCUCCCAGCUCUCUGCUCAGACAGGGCUGAGGUCUCUGGGAAGGCAGGUGUGGUCUAGAAGAUGAGGCUGCUGGGUCUUGUCCUGUGCCUGGUCACAGCUCCCCAAGGUGUCCUGUGCCAGGUGCAGCUGAAGGAGUCAGGACCUGGCCUGGUGAAACCCUCGCAGACCCUGUCCCUCACCUGUGCUGUCUCUGGAUUCUCCAUUACAACCAGUGGUUAUGGCUGGAACUGGAUCCGUCAGCCCCCAGGGAAGGGGCUGGAGUGGAUAGGGAACAUAUGGUAUGAUGGUGAUACUUACUACAACCCAUCCCUCAAGAGCCGAGUGUCCAUCUCCAGAGACACAUCCAAGAACCAGUUCUCCCUGCAGCUGAGCUCCCUGACCACUGAGGACACGGCCACCUAUUACUGUGCCAGAGCCACAGUGCGGGGACCUCAGUGGGGCACUGAGGACCAGCAGGGGGCUGAGGAGCAGCAGGGACCUGAGGACCAGCAGGGACCUGAGGAGCAGCAGGGAGCUGAGGAGCAGCAGGGGGCUGAGGAGCAGCAGGGACCUGAGGACCAGCAGGGGGCUGAGGAGCAGCAGGGACCUGAGGACCAGCAGGGACCUGAGGACCAGCAGGGACCUGAGGACCAGCUUGGGGGGUCUCAGGACAGUGGAGCUCAGUACAAGCAGGGACUCUGGACCCACAUUGGGUCAGGACAACCAGGGAAAGCUCAUGAUCUUAGGUCCACCUGGAGGCUCAAGGCCAUCAGGGGGCUCAUGACGU